UCCUCGCGGUCCAAGUCGCAGCCAUCAUUAUUGGGUCUAAAACAUCCGUAGCUUGUUUGAUAAGUUCCUUGUGAAAUCUCAACUCUUAAGGUUGAGGCGUGCGGGGAAUACUGUCAAGCUAGAGAUUGGAAGACGUAAGAAGUAUGUUCAAAGUAGCGGUAAAAUGUGUUAAUCUUGAGCAGACUCACAACAGCGAAGGCAUCUUACGAGGACAGUUCUGACAGUAAAGGAUGAAGGCUAGGGGC
rnacentral:rRNA from 1 species